AUUGAACGCUGGCGGCAGGCCUAACACAUGCAAGUCGAGCGUGCGGCGGAAGGGUGAGUAAUGUAUGGGGACUGCACGAUAGAGGGGGAUAACUACAGGAAACGGUGGCUAAUACCGCCUACUAUCGGAUCACCCAAAUGGGAUUAGCUAGUAGGUAAGGUAAUGGCUUACCGAGGCGACGAGCCCUAGCUGGUAUGAGAGGACGCUCAGCCACCCGUAGACGGAGACGCUGCCCAGGCUCCUACGGAGGCAGCAGUGGAGAAGAAUGAAGAAUGAGCGCAAGCCUGAUGCAGCCAUGCCGAGUGUAUGAAUAAGGCCCUAGGGUUGUAAAGUACGUUUAUUCAUGAGGAGUUACGGACAGAAGAAGCACCGGCUAACUCCGUGCCAGCAGGCGCGGUAAGUC
rnacentral:rRNA from 1 species